UACAAAGGGGGCUAGCGUUGCUCGGAAUCACUGGGCGUAAAGGGCGCGUAGGCGGCGUUUUAAGUCGGGGGUGAAAGCCUGUGGCUCAACCACAGAAUGGCCUUCGAUACUGGGACGCUUGAGUAUGGUAGAGGUUGGUGGAACUGCGAGUGUAGAGGUGAAAUUCGUAGAUAUUCGCAAGAACACCGGUGGCGAAGGCGGCCAACUGGACCAUUACUGACGCUGAGGCGCGAAAGCGUGGGGAGCAAACAGG
rnacentral:rRNA from 1 species